UCCACCGAAAGAAAAGGAGUGGCGAACGGGUGAGUAACACGUGGGUAACCUGCCCAUCAGAAGGGGAUAACACUUGGAAACAGGUGCUAAUACCGUAUAACAAUCGAAACCGCAUGGUUUCGGUUUGAAAGGCGCUUUUGCGUCACUGAUGGAUGGACCCGCGGUGCAUUAGCUAGUUGGUGAGGUAACGGCUCACCAAGGCAACGAUGCAUAGCCGACCUGAGAGGGUGAUCGGCCACAUUGGGACUGAGACACGGCCCAAACUCCUACGGGAGGCAGCAGUAGGGAAUCUUCGGCAAUGGACGCAAGUCUGACCGAGCAACGCCGCGUGAGUGAAGAAGGUUUUCGGAUCGUAAAACUCUGUUGUUAGAGAAGAACAAGGAUGAGAGUAAAAUGUUCAUCCCUUGACGGUAUCUAACCAGAAAGCCACGGCUAACUACGUGCCAGCAGCCGCGGUAAUACGUAGGUGGCAAGCGUUGUCCGGAUUUAUUGGGCGUAAAGCGAGCGCAGGCG
rnacentral:rRNA from 1 species